GAAACUAGACUCGAAGAUCUUUCUUUCGGUAUGAGUCUCGAGUCCAGGAGAUGUCGGAGUCAGAACAGAUUAAAUUUUGAAGUUGAGUCAGUGUAAAAGCAGAGCAUGUUUUGAUGAUGUUUGAUUGUGAUUCUUAUGUGCCUUAUGUUGAGCCUUUUUAUUUUAUUUUAUUUUUUUUAUUUUAUAACAUUACUUGUUCUUAUUUAUUAAGCCCGAUUAAUUAUGAGAUUAUAAAGCGAAUAAGUUGAAGUAUUUAUUUUCUAUUGACUACGAGGAGCGGGGUUUAUUUAAUUGACGGAUUAGAACACCCCGAAGAGAACGGAUUAAUUUUUGUUAAUUAUCCGGCUUCAUGAGACGAGACUUAGCGGGACUCUUUUGUUUUAUUAUGUAUUAAUGAACUCUAGGGUUACAUGUCUUCAUACAUGUAAUCAGAACCUUAUUCCGCUGCGUACUCAGAAGUUUUAUGUUAUUUUGGAUAAGUCGGAGUUAUCCGAAUUUACUAGUUAUUUGAGUCUAUACGACUAAAACUCCGUUAUAUUAUAAAUAUCCAUGGUGUUAACAUUGAUGAAAUACGAUCCUUUCUUGUUUGAUUAUUCCCCUUUCUACCCCGCUUCUAAUCUCCCUCCAUUAGUCACGGUUUCCCC
rnacentral:lncRNA from 1 species